ACGGCGGAAUCCGAAAAGCCAUGAAAAGAGUAGGAA
rnacentral:ncRNA from 1 species